AAAGCUGGCCCAGGCGCAGGCGGAAUCCAAGAGGGUUACUGAAGACCUCCUUCAAGCUCGUGAAACAACUGAAGAACUCAAGAAACGAGCUGAAGAAUUAGAGCAACAGACCGAGGGGCUCAAAAAGCAGACUGAAGAGCUCGAGCUGAGCUCCGCCCAGAUCCUCGCUGCUGGGUUUGACGCUGCCUUGGAACAAUUCGCCUGCCAGUACCCCGACUUGGAUC
rnacentral:lncRNA from 1 species